rnacentral:lncRNA from 1 species
AUUUUUUUCAUGCUACUCACACAUCCUUAAAACUAGAGCAAGCAUUUUGCAGACUACAAGCAUACUCCAAGAAGCCAAACUUCACACCUCCAAACUUUAUUUGGAUUAAAUACUGUUCUGCUAGAUAGAAGCAGUGAUUCUGCUCAUCAGACAUACUGCUGCCUCAUCAAGAAUUGCUAUGUUUAUUUUGCCAGAGGCUGUAUCUUCAGAAAGGCUGAAGCAUUACAAAAAUAUUGAGGAUGGAUGGACUGAUAGAUGAACACAAAGACAAUGUGAUUGCAUUCACCUCUUGCAAGAAACCAAG